GCAGGCUGCAACUCGCCUGCAUGAAGUCGGAAUUGCUAGUAAUCGCGGAUCAGCAUGCCGCGGUGAAUACGUUCCCGGGCCUUGUACACACCGCCCGUCACACCAUGAGAGCCGGGAACACCCGAAGUCCGUAGUCUAACCAUUAAGGAGGACGCGGCCGAAGGUGGGUUCGGUAAUUGGGGUGAAGUCGUAACAAGGUAAC
rnacentral:rRNA from 1 species